rnacentral:rRNA from 1 species
GAUGAACGCUAGCGGCAGGCUUAAUACAUGCAAGUCGAGGGGUAGCAAGAUUGUAGCAAUACAAUUGUUGACGACCGGCAAACGGGUGCGGCACACGUACACAACCUUCCUACAAGUGGGGAAUAGCCCAGAGAAAUUUGGAUUAAUACCCCGUAACAUAGCGAUGUGGCAUCACAUUGCUAUUAUAGCUUCGGCGCUUGUUGAUGGGUGUGCGGCUGAUUAGAUAGUUGGCGGGGUAACGGCCCACCAAGUCUACGAUCAGUAGCUGCUGUGAGAGCAUGUUCAGCGACACGGGGACUGAGACACGGUCCCGACUCGUACGGGAGGCAGCAGUAAGGAAUAAUGGACAAUGGACGCAAGUCUGAUCCAGCCAUGCCGCGGGAAGGAUUAAGGUCCUCUGGAUUGUAAACUUCUUUUAUAAGGGACGAAAAAAGGUCUUUCUAGAUCGUCUGACGGUACCUUAUGAAUAAGCACCGGCUAACCUCGUGCCAGCCGCCGCAGUAAGAC